rnacentral:rRNA from 1 species
GGCGAACGGGUGAGUAACACGUGGGCAACCUGCCCUCAGCUCUGGGAUAACUCCAAGAAAUUGGGGCUAAUACCGGAUAUGACUGCUGACCGCAUGGUCGGGUGGUGGAAAGAUUUAUCGGCUGGGGAUGGGCCCGCGGCCUAUCAGCUUGUUGGUGGGGUAGUGGCCUACCAAGGCGACGACGGGUAGCCGGCCUGAGAGGGUGACCGGCCACACUGGGACUGAGACACGGCCCAGACUCCUACGGGAGGCAGCAGUGGGGAAUAUUGCGCAAUGGGCGGAAGCCUGACGCAGCGACGCCGCGUGGGGGAUGACGGCCUUCGGGUUGUAAACCUCUUUCAGCAGGGAAGAAGCGAAAGUGACGGUACCUGCAGAAGAAGCGCCGGCUAACUACGUGCCAGCAGCCGCGGUAAUACGUAGGGCGCAAGCGUUGUCCGGAAUUAUUGGGCGUAAAGAGCUCGUAGGCGGCUUGUCACGUCGGGUGUGAAAGCCCGGGGCUUAACCCCGGGUCUGCAUCCGAUACGGGCAGGCUAGAGUGUGGUAGGGGAGAUCGGAAUUCCUGGUGUAGCGGUGAAAUGCGCAGAUAUCAGGAGGAACACCGGUGGCGAAGGCGGAUCUCGGGGCCAUUACUGACGCUGAGGAGCGAAAGCGUGGGGAGCGAACAGGAUUAGAUACCCUGGUAGUCC